CAGAACCAGAAAGCUUCACAGUGCAUAAGCCUGCCAGUGUUCUCCUCGUCUAUCGCUUCAGUCAAUAGAAGUUUAUUUAUUUUCCGUCUCCUCCUGUGAUCGGCGCUCUAACAAGAGGGGACAGCUGCUCAGGUGGUCAUUUGCGACCACAUCCUUGACAAUUUCAUUUUCAUUUUUUCCCUCGGAUGAACCACAGACUGUCCCGCCAGCUUAUCGAGCCAAAGCCUGGUUUAAAGACAGGGGGCACUCACUUUAUUUCAAGUUGGCCUUUUCUUCAGUCUGGAGUCGCAGCACAUGGAAAUUAGACUGUCGAUCCAGACACAGGAUGGGGACCCUGCUGGAGCAGAGCGACUUGGCAAGAAUAAAAAAGUGCGAGCUGAGGAGCUGCCACAGGGUCAGAGCUUCCUGCAGCUGACAUUGCUCUUGUUCCUUGUACAGUGUCCCGACCAACACCCUGUCUCUUCCUGCGUUGAGCAUCUCGACCGUCGUCCCGUGUGUUCCUGCUUCAGGGGGGUCCCGGCCAACACCCUGUCUGUUCCCAGCCAAUUUCCUGUCUGUUCCUGGAUCGGUCGAUGCCUGGUCUGGUCCUGAGUCUGUUCCUGGGUGGGCAAACGCCUCCACUACGCCUGAGCCAGCCGACGCCUCUCCUGUUCCUGGGUCGACCAACGCCUCCACUAUCCCUGGGCUGGCCAACACCACUCCCCGUUCCAAACCAGCCGAUUAUCCCCAUUUGGGUUAUUUUUUUGUUGGACUUGCCAGCCGCCUUUAGUCAUUUUGUGUUGCUCUGUCAGCUUUUGUGUCCACCUCCGAUGAGUUUAUUAAAGUCACCCUACGAAUCCAUCAGAGGUUGUUACAAAGUUAUGUAAAGCAGCAGUCAUGUCAAAAGGAGGAUUUACAAAAUGCUCAACAAAAAAAGAAAGAAAAGAGGCAUCAAAAGCAUCAAAUUUGAAAUAGUAAUAAUACAACUGCGAACACAACAGUCUUACAAAUUAAGUUUAAAAUGCGCAUAAUUUAAAAAUAUCUGUGUAGACUGCAAAAUAUCUACACACUCAUUGACACUAACAGCCUGAGAGAAUAACACUGCAUACUAGAUUAGGUUUCACACUCACUCGCUCACUCACUACAGAAAACCAUGCAGAAUACACAUGCAUGGUUGUAUGUAUUCUUUUUUAUACAUAUAAGUAUGAAAAAGAAAAUGGUGUACGCGCGGUUUUGGCAUGUGUCGAUGCAUCUGGCCCCCUGGCGAUGGCACAGGAUAGCGCGCAGAAACACUACCAAACAUUCACUGAUCGCGUGUUGACUUUAUGUCAGUGCGUUUCAUAUGUGCUGUGACAAAUCUGCCAGGAUCCUGUGCGCUCGUGCCCCGAGGUUGUGUGGUGAAGACUGGCGCCGGUACACAGGGUGUUGCGGGGGCAUCGACCCGCUCCGCUGCCACCUACAGUGCAGGGCUGCAGUAUUUCCAAUGCAUCAGCCAGAGCAGUGAGUGGAACCAAUGCCGGCGUGAUUAGUCUGGCUGGGGGGUAAAUGAAAACCAUUAUCAAGGUUUUUCUCUCUGCCGCAUCCUAAUGCAAAGCAGGAGGAAGGUGAUUUGAAUUGCUAAAGCAGCGCCGGCGUUGCUCGUUUGGCACUGGACAAUCUCGAUCGGUGGCUGCCGCUCUGCGUGCUGACUUUGUUUUGUUUUGCCAUGUGUGUUGAAAUGAGCGUCAUUAUCAACUGUGACACUCUCAGUGGGCUGGUGUUCCACUGGUUGGGUCCCGCGGUGCACCAGCCUUGUAAUUUUGGUUAAAAAAAAAAAGAAAAAAUUGACAGAGAUAAAGCUUUUUAUUCCUUUCCAUCGAUGACUGCGAGGUAAAUGAGCUGAAAAAAUGAACACGUCUGCCGCAUUAUCGGCUAAAAUACCUUAGCAUGCCAAGAUUAUGCUGUAUAAUUAUGCUGCUUGUAUUU
rnacentral:lncRNA from 1 species